rnacentral:rRNA from 1 species
GGGGCAAGCGUUAUCCGGAUUUACUGGGUGUAAAGGGAGCGUAGACGGCUGUGCAAGCCUGAUGUGAAAGCCCGGGGCUCAACCCCGGGACUGCAUUGGAAACUGUCGUGCUGGAGUGUCGGAGGGGCAAGUGGAAUUCCUAGUGUAGCGGUGAAAUGCGUAGAUAUUAGGAGGAACACCAGUGGCGAAGGCGGCUUGCUGGACGACAACUGACGCUGAGGCUCGAAAGCGUGGGGAGCAAAC